UCUAUCUAUAACAUAUAUAAUAAGAAUGAAUGGUUAACGUCAAUUGUACACUCAUUAUGAUCUAGUAAGGAGAUUAAAAAUAAUAAUAGAUGACAUUAGUUGAAAUCAUAUAAUUAAGAAAUCCUAACAGCUCGGAACUAGCUACAUUCAUCAACUCUAGCUAUUGGUAAUUUAGUACAAAUCCAAUUGAGUUUCAGUUCCAGAUUCACCACUCGCGCAUGCUAAUGCUAGCGGCCAUUAUUGUCGCACACGCAGUGGAUGAAUGUGAUGGUGACCCACGAAAUUAAAGUUCAGCACAUUCUUUAAGUGGAAUACCAAGGUAGACCUCACAUCACAAGCUCAUAUUCUUCCUACAUUCAAGACCAAGUGAAAUUUUAUAGCUUUGUAAAAGCCUCUUCUACAGUAAGUAAACUCACCUACCAAAAGUUUCCCAUGCAUGGCCACUAACCAGGGAUCUGUCUGCCACCCACACAUGCUAAACUGACUCCAACUGGCUGUAUAUUAACUGGUGGGGGCAAUAGAUAAUCCUCCUCUGCUUUCUUGUCUUUCUCUUGCCUUCAAAUUACAUUACAAUAUACUCCCUUGUAAUAUCAACACGAGGGACAAAUCACUGCAGAUCCAGUCCACAAAUAUAGAUGCAAUAGAAACUGAAAAGCUUGUACUCAAGAAAGAAACCUUUUGGAUUUAACAGUCGUUACAGAAGAAAAAGAAGACAAAAGUAAUAUGCAAGUGCACAAGAUUUUGCUUCAUUGAAGUGGUGGUAGCAUAUGAAAAGGAAAACAAGCAGUGAUUGGAACUCUGAUAUGAUUAAAAAACUAUUUACUAAGGAAAACGUGUAAGGUUGACACUAAAUUGGACUUGUACAAGAACAGAGAUGAAUACGUCUGCCUUGUAUUUAUCUUUAUGUGUCUUCUGAUUGGAGCACAAUCAUAUCCAACCAUGACGCCGCAGCUUUAUCACAAGCACAUUCACGUUAGUAUAUGCUAGAUACACGGCCAAAAAUAUUUUGGCCAAAAAGAAACAAGCUGCAUGUGCAGGCGUAAGCAUGUUUGCCUGGUAAUCAAAGGGGGUUCUUCAUAUGAACGAGGAUAGAAUAGUUAAAAUAUUCAAUAGAUUCAGGUCCUUGCAUUGAUAUUGAUUGCUACCAGGAAAAAUACGAGAAUCCUGAACUUCAAGCCACUGACACAUGACCUCAAGCAUUUUUAUGGGAUGCUCACUGGCCAAAGCAAAUACUAUCCAAGUGAAAUUUUCUUGUAAAAUUUCAUUUCUGGUUAAACACCACAUUUCAAAAGAAUGAAUAUAAUAAAAAAAAGGUAGAAUAUGAUUCAUCAAAUUCUUAAAAACCCUGUAAGUGCAAUAACAGAUCAUUCGCUGCAUCUACUGUCUCCUCCUAUAUUGAUUUCUUGUGUACCUGCUGGCUGCAUAACUUAGAAAUGUCUUCGUUGUCUCUGUACAGUCUUCAAGGACGCUCUUUCAAGUCACUUAAUCUGUUAUCAGUCACAGGGAGAAAGCGCAAUCACUACCUUAGAAAAUGAAAUUACAAAUGGACACUUUCAAAAUAGUUGGAAAAAGAAAAAAGAAAAAUUACAGCAGGUCAGAAAGUGCAUGAUAACCAUCCUUGAAAAGACAAGAAAUGACCUCAUCUAUACCACGAAUAAACAGAAAACAUACAAAUAAAGGCAGUUCACAUCAUAGGGAAAAAUGGAAAAGGUAGUCAUCUAAAAAAAGGAAACAGAAAGGGGGACGCAAGUAUGGAAAAAGAAGUUCUCACCACCACAGAAAAUGCAAUGACAAUUGGAUAGACCCCUUUCAAAUUAAUUGAAAACAAGACAAACUCUAGUGGGUCAUAUUUUUCACCAUAACCAUCCUAAAAACACAAAAAAUGACCUUAUCUUUUCCAUGAAUGAGACUCUUUCAAAAAGAUCCCUUUGGGAUUUUUCUUUGCAUUUUCCUCUUCACUUUCCCUGGUUCACUUAACAUUAUAUUAUUCAGUGAAUAAUGAAUGACACAUACCUCUGAAUUCUAAUGUUUCUACACGAGCAUAAUAACAAACAAAACAGGAAUCACUGCUGAGCAUAAGUGUUCCAUGGAGUGCCCACUGAUAAAGUAAAGAUUUGCACUGUAUAUUUUCCCAUCGACAGCAGCUUCAAACUUGGCUACAAGACAAACGCCUGAACCAUAUGGUGUGAAAACUUAGAGACAGGUGGUGAAUGAACAACAAAAUAAACCAUCAUCUAUACCAAAAUCUUCUACACAGUAAUGCCAAACCAGAUAAAGAGGCAAUGUAAGAAAGAAAAUUGAUCAGAAAACAGGCACUUCAAUUCAAUGUUUCAAACUUCUUGUACAACUAUUUCACAUAACGAUGGUUUAUAUCUCAAGACUUCAUCCAGUCACAUCUGAUCACAAUAAUUAAAAGGUCAUAUUGAUGCCCAGUCUUCAUGUGCUGCAUUAAGUGAUAUAUAUCAAAUUUCAAUCAAGUCAGAAGCAUCCUUGCGGUGCAUCCAACUAAAGGCUUGAUAGAAAACACUAAGCAUUCCGAGCAGUAAAAAACUAGCCAGGUAUUUAUAUACAUUACCAUCCCUAGAAAAACUGACAAAUCUCCUGCCAAAAAAUUUUUUUAACAAUAAAAGUGCUAAACUAGAAAGCACCUCUGCAUAUUAUGUUUCAGCUUAAAAGAAGGAUUCAAGCAUCUUAUUUUGGGGCUGAAUUGCCAAUUGACAUAUGUGCUUAAGUUCCUUUCUCAGAAUUCAGGUUGCAAGGUCAUGAAUCAUAUAUGUAAAGCAAUGAAAACAACAAAAGAAGAGGACCUAGAAUCUUUCUUCCCCUGUCUCCUCUGCAAUUUUGAGACGAUCAGACAAGAGGAUAAUCGGAAACAACUCAAGGGCAAGAAAAAGGGUUUCCUUCAAAACUUAAGGAAGCCUGGACAAAAUUUUCCUCACAAAGUUACGCAUAAUCUCAUUUAAAACUCAAAAUUUAUAACUUUCCAACAAAGCAUUUUGCCUUUUUCUCUUCUGAAGUAUUCAUCCAUUUUAUGUUGUUGCCGGACAAGUGGUCUUAGUUGCAAUGACAGUAUCAUUGCAAAAGACUGCCACAGCUCUUUCAUUGGAUGUACAUCCAUAAAGCAAAAGAUCAUUUGCCACACUUCUCCUAGAUCUUGGUACAUGUUCUUUUAACAUCAAUAUUGUUUGCAUUGAUUGAUUACUGAUCUAUUGAACUUUGCUUUUGUAAUUAUUUUGAACAAUAAGUCAUAAGUUAGAGAUAUUUUUAAUACUAUAAACGCAUGAAGAGUUGAAUUUUUUUUAUUCUUUACUGACUGAAAUUAAUAAUAAAAAUAAUGAUGAUGAUAAAAGAGCUGAUAAGGCAUGGAAUACCUGCCGCCCAAAGCCAAUACACUGAGUGCAUAUAUUUUGGCAGGUAGAGAAAUGUCAUGCCUGGUAUGGCUAUGCAUGGAAUCAAUUGGAACAUCAUGCACAACCGAAGAUCAUUAAAUAUUCUGCAACCAACUAGCAACCCAUUCUCAGCUGAAAACUUAGAAUAUCCAUGACACAGAAGCACCAAUCACUUAAACAGAUGAUUACAUAUCAAAUGUAGGUGAAAAACCAACCUUGCAUAAGCUGUGCUAAGUAAAACAACAAAUAGCAUCCCAAACAAACAAGUUAAUCCGACACGUUGCCCCACUCUUUCCACAACAAAACUGGAAAAAAGUGAAGAAUAUGCUAUCAUCAUCUGCAUAUAGUAACGCACAAUAAGAAAUUGAAAACAACAGCAUCACACAUAAACAACGACAAAAUAGUUAUCUGCAAAAGAAAUCAUAAUCCUCCAUUUUGUUUUGAAUAUUUAAGCAUACAUUUUAAAAGAUUAGGCUGAACCCAACUGGCCAAAAUUGUGGAAUUAGGAACAAUCUAAGUGGACAACACAUAUUCCAGUUUCAAAUGCAGGAAGAGCGAACUAGAAAUGUUCAAGAAACAUUUGAUAUGCUCCAUUUGUAUCCCACUGCUACAUUUCUUGCAAGCCAAAACGAGCAAAACAUAAAAACAAAAGGAAUAACUCAAUAAAAUUAUACAACAGAAUAGAAAUGCUGACCGGCAAGGUGUCCCAAAUGACUCUACUGUCAUCGGGUUUGAGAUGAUAGUAAGCAGACCCAAAAGCGACGCCUACUAUUCCUCCAAAGAAAAGCACCCAACCCCAAACCUCUCCUCGCAAGCUUAUAGUAAAAAGGCAUCCUUGAAGACAGAGGACAAAACCCACAACACCCACAACCAGAAAGGGAAAAUUGGUGAUCACAUUCAAAGUGUUGGGAACUUCGGUCAUAUAACGAAAUAGAUACCAUCAAACGGAGAUGACAAGUCGUUUUCAACCGAAAUGACAAGUCCAGGAGUGAAUUAAAUUUAUGAGGAUUAAAGCCUCUUACUCAGUCACCCAGAUAGCAAAAUGCUGGAAUUAUCAGAACAGAGAUGAUAAAGAUAAACCAGUAGAUAAUAACAUAGAAAUUGCAGAGACUGAUAGAGAGAGUAAAUACCAAGAAAAUUGCGCAUGUCAGCGAAAAGAUGGUGCUGGCUAGGGAGAGGGAUCUUGGGUGUGGCAACAUGAGCAAAACCCAACACAGAAAUGCUCCACCCCAAAUGCGGCUUCUCUUUCUUCUUCCUAUCUCUACAUGUUUAUUUACCAUCCAACCCAUUCUCUCUUUGUUUUGCUUGCUCUUUUCUUUCGCUACAAAAGUAAUUCUCUUUCUUUUGCGCCCUCUCUCUAAAAAGUCUCUCCUUCACUCUCUUCGCUCCUCUCUGGCUGAUGCUUUUAUUGGUUUCAAAGAUUGUUGUUUCUUCAGUGUCGUUAUGCAGAUUUUCUAUUUCUUCUUUGUUCUGAUUUUACGACGUUUUACACUUUGCACGCUGCAAAUUGCAAUCUGAAAUCCGACAUGUCGUCGUUUUCUC
rnacentral:misc_RNA from 1 species